rnacentral:tRNA from 1 species
GCUGGUAGCUUAGUGGUCAGAGCUGCUGCCUUUGGUCCCAGAGGCUGUAGGUUCAAAUCCCACCUCCAGCU